ACUAUGGUUUUUUUUCUGUUCCAGUAAGAAUUCAAAUUCUUUAGAAUGUCUCUGUUUCACAAAAUCUCUGACAGUGCUCUGGUUGACUUGACUUCAGAAUUCUUUGAAGGAGUGGCCCAGAAUUCUUCAGAGAAUGUUUUGCAAAACCAAGGGGAGCACCCCCCCAGAGGGUCAGGUCCUAACCAUUUCAAUGUGGGGAGGAGAAAUGGAAAUCAACUUCAGAGAUGGACAGCUUUAGGCCAAG